rnacentral:misc_RNA from 1 species
AAUCAUCAACCCCACCGAUUGGGGGGCUUGGACUUGGAGCGUGCUGGCGCAGGUCGGCUCCUCUUUAAAUGCAUCAGCGGAAGAAUGCACCUUUUCUCCCUUCGGCGUGAUAAUCCUGUUGCGCCGUGUGCGGGUGGAAGGUGUUCCGCUUAUAAUCGUCCUCGGACAACAUUACAC